rnacentral:tRNA from 1 species
GGAGGCGUGGCAGAGCGGUCGAAUGCAGCACACUGCUAAUGUGUUGUCCGGGAAACUGGACCGGAGGUUCGAAUCCUCCCGCCUCCG